rnacentral:lncRNA from 1 species
UGUGGUUCAAUAUAAGAGAGACCGUUUGGGCACGUGUGGUAGACUUUACACACGAUCCCUAUGGAACCACACAUACACACGCGUAUGUGUGGUGCAGCGAGGAGAAUAACCACCAAUGCCCGGGUAUUUGUGGUGCAAAGUGCCAUUUGAAGCGGUGAAAUUUAGACGUCUCUCUCGCGCGCGUAUGUUUUGGUAUAGGUAUCGAUCGGCCAGCUAGUUUGUUUUCAAUUUUGACAGAACGAACGAUACCGUUGUUUUCCUUUUUUGAGGAUCCAGUUUGUACCUCGAUGUCCUGAUUUUGUGUCAUGAUAGAUCUUCAUCCAUAUAAUCGAACCCUGGUAGAAGUAUUAUCAUCAGAUGCAUUAGAACCAGCUUUAUUUCAUCUUUGGUCUUCAUACCAUCAUUCAGACUCUCAGCUGUACCAUUAUAGGUGGAUUGAAAGAUCAAUAUUUAUGCAGUUAAAAUGCCCUGGUAGAAGUAUUAUCAUCAGAUGCAUUAGAACCAGCUUUAUUUCAUCUUUGGUCUUCAUACCAUCAUUCAGACUCUCAGCUGUACCAUUAUAGGUGGAUUGAAAGAUCAAUAUUUAUGCAGUUAAAAUGCCCUGGUAGAAGUAUUAUCAUCAGAUGCAUUAGAACCAGCUUUAUUUCAUCUUUGGUCUUCAUACCAUCAUUCAGACUCUCAGCUGUACCAUUAUAGCCCUGGUAGAAGUAUUAUCAUCAGAUGCAUUAGAACCAGCUUUAUUUCAUCUUUGGUCUUCAUACCAUCAUACAGACUCUCAGCUGUACCAUUAUAGGUGGAUUGAAAGAUCAAUAUUCAUGCAGUUAAAAUGAUGCUGUAAGUAGAAAUGGAAGGUGUCCAUCCCUCUGAACUGCCUUAUACCUGCCUGCACCCAGUCAUCUUGGCGUCUACAUGCUCAAAUAUUUUUAAUAAGAAAU